UUGCCUUAAACUAAUGAGUAAGGAAAACAAAGCGAGCGGUGAGAGCCGGUCGCAGCGCUGACAUAAAACAUAGAAAGUGGCGCAAGAAUUUAUGGAAGGGAAAUAGGCUGGUCGAGUGUUGACGCUGCUUACUUUGCAGAACUCACUCGUGCGGGCCUCCCCA
rfam:Arabis alpina cultivar Pajares Aa.chr4_contig_2808, whole genome shotgun sequence.